rnacentral:lncRNA from 1 species
CAUAUGGUCGGUUCCGUCGGUACACAUAUUGUGGCCGAUAGAUUGGUAAGAAAUCUAUACCAAAACUCUUCACUAAAAGUGUAAAAACUCUUAUAUGUAUAUUUUAAUUAAUUUAAUUAUUUAUUUAUUAUGAUAGUUGGGUCAUCCACCAAGCCAGCUAUGGUUAUAGAAGGCCACACAUCAGUCUAGGAGGACUGGUAAUUACUUAAAUUCUAGGUUGUGACAGAUCGUGGUAAGAA